rnacentral:lncRNA from 1 species
GUUCAAAGGGUUUGCCAGGCUAUUUUUAACAUUGAAGUCUGGAAGGAAAAUGAUGUCACAUGCUGGGAAAGGGGUCCAGAUAUUUCAACAGACCACAGCCAAAGAAUUCUGUUUUUUAUUUGUUUCUCUCAGAAUUGAAUCAUUUGAAAAAGGAACAGUGAGUACGUGACCAGAUAAGGGUGUCCUUCCCAAUGGCAUGUCCGCACACAGCCCCCGCCUGUCUCUCGCCUGGUAGCCUGUUCCCCAUCACUGUCGAGCUGGUCCUCACCUGUCUGGAGUCUAUGGCCGGGGCUGCGCAAUGGUUCUGGAUUGCAGGCAUGUUUUAUCCAUCAUGAUUCAGUUGUUACCAUACACAGUGUUUAUUUUUCUUCAUAAAAAGAUGCAAGCUGUGCGCCUCCAAAUGCUGGGAGCUCAGAAUAUUCCAUUUGUUUGUGGAGAGACAGACUGGAUGGCACAAUUUCAAUCAAACUAUGAAAUGCAGCCUGGCAUGCCUGCAGAGAACGGGAAAUAAUAAAGCCGUGUGCUCCUCUUUCCGAGAAGCCCGAGAGCCGUGCACACCGUUAACUCCUUACUCCCUGGGAGGGUCCUGGUGGACGUAUUCCCCCAGCGGCCGGGGCCCAGGGAACUGUCCAGAGUGGUCCAUCCUUGCACGGGGACAGGCAGGGCCGUGGGGCACAGGGUGUGCCCCCCUGAUUGACUCUGGGUGACAAGGCGUGUGUGCUUUUGGUUCUCAAAUGGAAAUGGCCCUCUUUUCUAAUUACAAAAGUAAUAAAUGAUUAUUAAAAGUUUUUAGGAAAACAAAGUCUGAACACCAAAAAAAAAAAAAAAAAAAAACCCACCUAAAAUUUCUCCCUGUCUGUGCUUAUCUGCCUGUUUGUAUCUAACUUGUCUUUUUCAACUGAGGACAGCUCUCUGGUUAGCAUUUAUCGAUCUAGUUCCCCGACUGUGAGGGCUGAGCAGUGUUCCACCUUGUGGCUCCAUCAGCCCUGGUGAGGCAGGGUUGGCUGUCAGCCGCUUUCUCUUUUCGAAGCUGUGCCGCCUGGAACACUCUGAAACAUUCGCCUUGGCCCCUGGUGGGCUCAGUUGCUGAGGGUCAGCUCUAAGCAGUGGGAUACCUGGGGAAGUGCUUUUGAGGAACAUUCCUGAACCAUCCCCCCUGAAGUCCGUGCAAAGGAUACCAACCCCACAGAGCAGGGGCCUGUCUCCGACUGUCACUCCGGAGGACACUUUGUCACUCUUGGGGGUCCUCUUCUCUUCAAUUUCUGAAUGACCGGCAUAUCUUGACAUGGGAAAUCUCUAUGUAAUAAAGAUUUUAUUUUUUUCUUCUUCUUAU